AAAGUCGUAACAAGGUUUCCGUAGGUGAACCUGCGGAAGGAUCAUUAACGAGAUACAACAUCGGUUGUCGCUGGCCUCUCGGGGCAUGUGCACGCCUUUGCUCAUCCAUCUCACACCUGUGCACCCCUGUAGGAUCGUCGGUUUUUGAGGCGAAAGGAUUUUGUCAUCCGAUUAGUUUCGAUCCCGGCGAGUCUACGAUAUCACACACACACACUAAAAGUUUAGAAUGUAAUCUUGCUAUAAAACGCAUUUAAAUACAACUUUCAACAACGGAUCUCUUGGCUCUC
rnacentral:misc_RNA from 1 species